rnacentral:tRNA from 1 species
AUAAGGAAAGUAUAAUAAUUUACAUUUCAGUUACAUUGAAAAAAUUCCUAAACUAGGAUCCUUAUA